GCCAUCAUACAAUCAAGAGGUGGGGAUGGAACAUACUACAUGUACCCAAACUAACGUAAACAUCUGUCAGGCAAGUAUGGAACAACUGUGUCACCCCACUUCAAACACCCCUGUAGAGACAUAACUCAUCAAACUGAGACCAUGCUCUAUGAUCCUCAAAUGGACGCCAUAUGACGUCAACAUGUGUCAGCUCGUCCAAAAUAGGUCGUAAAUCAUCAACCUUCAAGACUCCUUGCCUAUAGGACCAUCUCAU
rnacentral:lncRNA from 1 species